UUGUGAUGUCAUAUACUUUCAAAGGUCC
rnacentral:piRNA from 1 species